UUCAUGUUGGAAACAAGGAGACAUUUUUUAUCAGAAAGAGCAGUCAGGCAUUGGAACAUGUUGCCCAAGGAGGUGGUGGCAUCACCAUCCCUGGGGGUGUUCAAAGAAAGGAUGGACCUGGUGCGUAGGAACAUGGUUUAGUGGGUGACAUUGGUAGGAGG